GAUGAACGCUGGCGGCGUGCCUAAUACAUGCAAGUAGAACGCUGAAGGAGGAGCUUGCUCUUCUGGAUGAGUUGCGAACGGGUGAGUAACGCGUAGGUAACCUGCCUGGUAGCGGGGGAUAACUAUUGGAAACGAUAGCUAAUACCGCAUGACAACAGUUAUUGCAUGAUAACUGUUUAAAAGGGGCAACUGCUCCACUACCAGAUGGACCUGCGUUGUAUUAGCUAGUUGGUGAGGUAACGGCUCACCAAGGCGACGAUACAUAGCCGACCUGAGAGGGUGAUCGGCCACACUGGGACUGAGACACGGCCCAGACUCCUACGGGAGGCAGCAGUAGGGAAUCUUCGGCAAUGGACGGAAGUCUGACCGAGCAACGCCGCGUGAGUGAAGAAGGUUUUCGGAUCGUAAAGCUCUGUUGUAAGAGAAGAACGAGUGUGAGAGUGGAAAGUUCACACUGUGACGGUAUCUGACCAGAAAGGGACGGCUAACUACGUA
rnacentral:rRNA from 1 species